GACGUGGGGCGCGAGCGUUGUCCGGAUUUAUUGGGCGUAAAGAGCUCGUAGGCGGCUUGUCGCGUCGACCGUGAAAACUUGUGGCUCAACCACAAGCUGGCGGUCGAUACGGGCAGGCUGGAGUUCGGUAGGGGAGACUGGAAUUCCUGGUGUAGCGGUGAAGUGCGCAGAUAUCAGGAGGAACACCGGUGGCGAAGGCGGGUCUCUGGGCCGAUACUGACGCUGAGGAGCGAAAGCGUGGGGAGCGAACAGG
rnacentral:rRNA from 1 species